UACUCCAUGUUUCUCUUUAGUUACCAGAGAAUACGAAAAGGACCCUGUACAUCUGGUGCAAAUUUAAGGAACACUGUUAAGUGCUCUACUUGUUUGACCUUGGGAGUAGCUCAAUCACUUCAGAUGACUUACAUCUGGUUGCCGUAGACUUGAUUUGCCUCUGACAUCACUGUAUGAGUUACUUGACGUGUGGCGCGAGGUCAAAAGUCACGGGACAUCUGAUGUGGCUUAACUUCUUGGAAAGGAAAACCUAAGGAGCCUUUUUUGCAAUCCAAAGAUGCAAUUCCUUUAGUCACACUUCUAUUUACCAACUACAGGAAGUGAAGCAUGACAGAGAUGAAUCAUGGUUGUCAAAGGAAAUCUUUUGAAUUUUUCCCGGUGGAUUCUAGUAACAUUAAUCAUAUUUGUAACACAGCUCAAUCCCAAACACUUCUAUUAUGAUAGAAGAAGAAAAGGUUCAUUUGUUUGCCACUAGAAAUGAAGUGUAAUGUUUGUUAGUAUAAGGAAUCUAUUCUUCUAUGAAAUGCUAUCACCGUAGACACUGUUGAGCAUCCCAUAUGGGGCUAAACUAUGUAGGGAAGCAGCAGGUCAGGACAGCUGCCUGCAAGAAGACAAAGGCAGAAGAGGGACAAUGAAAACAAUUUUGGAUAGCAGGGCUCAAGUGACAAAAAGGCAACUCACCCAAAUGAAGGAAUGAGUCAUUUCAUAAGGACUACUGCUCCCUUGAAAUACCAUUGGAAAAUGAUUGAUUUGUUUUCAGGACAGCCAAAACAAAAAAAAAUGUAAAUCAGUUUUCUUUAAGAAAUGUUAGUCAUGUUUUCUAUUCCACCUAAAGAGCAACAACAUGACUGACAGUGCGGGUCUUUUAAAGGAUAAUAAACAACUUCU